rnacentral:rRNA from 1 species
CCGCACGGGUGAGUAACACGUAUCCAACCUGCCGUCUACUCUUGGACAGCCUUCUGAAAGGAAGAUUAAUACAAGAUGGCAUCAUGAGUUCACAUGUUCACAUGAUUAAAGGUAUUCCGGUAGACGAUGGGGAUGCGUUCCGUUAGAUAGUAGGCGGGGUAACGGCCCACCUAGUCUUCGAUGGAUAGGGGUUCUGAGAGGAAGGUCCCCCACAUUGGAACUGAGACACGGUCCAA